rnacentral:rRNA from 1 species
UGUACGGCUCCGAACGCGCCUGAUCUCGUCAGAUCUCGGAAGCUAAGCAGGGUCGGGCCUAGUUAGUACUUGGAUGGGAGAAACUAAACACAA